AUUGAACGCUGGCGGUAGGCUUAACACAUGCAAGUCGAGCGGGGUGAUGGUGCUUGCACUAUCACUUUGCGGCGGACGGGUGAGUAAUGCUUAGGAAUCUGCCUAUUAGUGGGGGACAACAUCUCGAAAGGGAUGCUAAUACCGCAUACGUCCUACGGGAGAAAGCAGGGGAUCACUUGUGACCUUGCGCUAAUAGAUGAGCCUAGGUCGGAUUAGCUAGUUGGUGGGGUAAAGGCCUACCAAGGCGACGAUCUGUAGCGGGUCUGAGAGGAUGAUCCGCCACACUGGGACCGAGACACGGCCCAGACUCCUACGGGAGGCAGCAGUGGGGAAUAUUGGACAAUGGGGGAAACCCUGAUCCAGCCAUGCCGCGUGUGUGAAGAAGGCCUUAUGGUUGUAAAGCACUUUAAGCGAGGAGGAGGCUACUGAGACUAAUACUCUUGGAUAGUGGACGUUACUCGCAGAAUAAGCACCGGCUAACUCUGUGCCAGCCGCCGCCGUAA
rnacentral:rRNA from 1 species